CGCUAACUGAAGUGCUUGUGUUUUGUAUUUGCAGAAAAGUAAGAGCACAGUUACCUUCAGAGGAGUGGCAGCACACACACACCGAGAGCAGGAGGAGAGUGAUGGAGAGGAUCUUCACAGACAUUUUCACCGGUGGUCUGGCUCACUGAUCAGAGUUAAAAUCUACGAGUUGAUUCGUGUUUGGUUAUUUAUUGGUCUGCACUUCCAGGCUCCACUGGUUCAGAGACUUAUCCCCAUGAACGAAGUAAGACAGAGCUCGAUCGGUUUCAACUUGUAAGGGGAGCCGGUCGUAUCAGCCUCAGCACCUCAGUGAUCAUAUCGAGGUUGGACCUCAAUGCAACACGGACGUUUCUUUCUAGGACCAGCUGGACCUGAGAGGUAAAGGGUUUAAAAUUGAGUUACUUUUCCUGAGAAAAGUCUGAUUACAAGGAAAAUCACAGUUAAAUCUACUUUAAAGUGGAAUUAGAUUCUAGACUUGAUUAUCAUUCUCACUAAACCCCCUACCAGUUUAAAAGAGGAAACAUACAUGAAACUCCUUAAAUCACUAAAAGAAAAAAUCGCUUUUGAAAUGUUACAUGAAAUUAUUUGACAGUGAUCAGGCUUGUUUUGUGCCUCACUCUGUAACCAUUUUACACUUUGAAAGAAAAACAAGUCAGUGUUUUCCCUUAUGAUACAGUAUGUUGUUCAUUGUUUUCUUUAACAGUGCUGUCUUGUAUAAAAUGAAGAGGAUCCACUUUUUCCAAUAUCUUUAAACCCUGAAUGGCAGGAUGCAGCACACAGUUAUCAGUUACAGUCAGAUUUCUAUCAAACAUUUCUCCCAAUUUUUCCACCACAAAAUCUGGAAUAUGUCAGAAGGAACUUCACGUGUGCAGUAGGCAAUGUGUCAAGGCUGAAGUAAAGAGCAAAUAAAAGACAUUUAUGAGCAUUAAUAGAAACGUCCUCACAACAGACAGAUUCAAUAUUCACACUCAGUGGACAAAUUAGCUCCAAGGUGUGCCCACCACUAUAUCCAGGUUCAGAUUCUUAAUCUUCUAGAAUAUUCUUGAAGAUUAGAAAAGUCCACUAAACUCAUCCGAGUGGUCUAUAAAUUAAAAUUGUAUUCUCAUCCAGUCUAAUUCAUGCUCCUCAAAGUCUAUCGAUUUAUUGGAUUGUGAACAUUAGAGUUCAGAGGGUUUUAAGGCUGCUGGGCAUUCAUAGACAACAAAAUAUUUGUUCUCUACGAAUGAAAUUUAUUUUUUAAUAUUUGUCACAUAGAGCAUUGCACAGUGCUUUACAUGAUACACAAGUCCCCCCAAAAUAGGUCCACUUGCAGGGUUGUUGUUGGUUGUUGCUGUGUGUCUGUUCUGCUCCUGCUGUCCUCUAUAUAUCACAAUGAGUACCAGCUCACAAAAUAUAUGGCUCUUGAAGUACCGCCCUUAUUGCCGACAUUAGAGUACAGUAGUUUAGGCCUAUUUAACACCAUAUACAGUUUACUUGAAACAAUUUCAUUUCAUAUAUGAAUGUUAUUCAUUUUAACAGUCAGAAUGUGACAAGGGAUAAUAAUAACAACUGUACUGCAUUAAAACUCCAAAGCAGGUGGGAUAUCCAGUCUUUAAGUGAUGACCUGAUGAAACUUGCUUCCGGGUCCAAACUACAUUUAUAAAGACUGUUGUGUUUUUAACAUUUUUUAAUCCUUUGUAUUUUUUUC